UACGUAGGGGGCUAGCGUUGUCCGGAUUUAUUGGGCGUAAAGAGCGUGUAGGCGGCCAGGUAGGUCUGGUGUGAAAACUCGAGGCUUAACCUCGAGAUGUCAUCGGAAACCAUCUGGCUAGAGUCCGGAAGAGGAAAGUGGAAUUCCUGGUGUAGCGGUGAAAUGCGCAGAUAUCAGGAAGAACACCAAUGACGAAAGCAGCUUUCUGGGACGGUACUGACGCUGAGACGCGAAAGCGUGGGGAGCGAACAGG
rnacentral:rRNA from 1 species